rnacentral:rRNA from 1 species
GUACGAUCGCAAGAUUAAAACUCAAAGGAAUUGACGGGGCCCCGCACAAGCAGCGGAGCAUGCGGCUUAAUUCGACGCAACGCGAAGAACCUUACCAAGGCUUGACAUAUACAGGAAUAUGGCAGAGAUGUCAUAGCCGCAAGGUCUGUAUACAGGUGGUGCAUGGUUGUCGUCAGCUCGUGUCGUGAGAUGUUGGGUUAAGUCCCGCAACGAGCGCAACCCUCGUUCUGUGUUGCCAGCAUUUAGUUGGGGACUCACAGGAGACUGCCGGGGUUAACUCGGAGGAAGGUGGGGAUGACGUCAAAUCAUCAUGCCCCUUAUGUCUUGGGCUGCACGCAUGCUACAAUGGCUGGUACAAACGGCUGCGAUACCGCAAGGUGGAGCGAAUCCGAUAAAGCCAGUCUCAGUUCGGAUUGGGGUCUGCAACUCGACCCCAUGAAGUCGGAGUUGCUAGUAAUCGUAGAUCAGCAACGCUACGGUGAAUACGUUCCCGGGGCUUGUACACACCGCCCGUCACAUCACGAAAGUCGGUAACACCCAAAGUCAGUGGCCCAACCGCAAGGAGGGAGCUUGCCAAAGGUGGGAUCGGUGAUUGGGAUG